GACGGAGGAUGCAAGUGUUAUCCGGAAUCACUGGGCGUAAAGCGUCUGUAGGUGGUUUAAUAAGUCAACUGUUAAAUCUUGAGGCUCAACCUCAAAAUCGCAGUCGAAACUAUUAGGCUAGAGUAUAGUAGGGGUAAAGGGAAUUUCCAGUGGAGCGGUGAAAUGCGUAGAGAUUGGAAAGAACACCGAUGGCGAUGGCACUUUACUGGGCUAUUACUAACACUCAGAGACGAAAGCUAGGGUAGCAAAUGGG
rnacentral:rRNA from 1 species